GCUCCCAGCCUGCCGGAGAGGCGCUGCCACCUCGCCGGCGGGGGACGUCCCGGGCAGCUCUGCGGCAGGAAAACUUGACCUUAAAAAAGCGCAGAAGCCGGUCCCUGGGAGGGCACCGCCGGGAGGUCCGCCCCGCAGCUUCGGAACCCCAAACUGAUACUUUACGAACUGUGCUGGCAAUUGCCAUGCUUCCGGAAGUCUCCUGCAGCACUCCUGUUUGUUUCCGGGCCAGAGGAUCCUAGGCCCUGCCUCAUAGAACAGGAGGGGCACAAGUAGAGCCAUAUUGGCAUUGUGACAGGAGCUGGAAGCAAGACAGAAGCAACAGUUACAAUGUUGAGUUGAAGAAUGAACCAACUCUGAAGUUUCUACAUCUGGACUUGUUAUAGAAAGUAAUAUGUUUUCUUUAUUGGUUAA